rnacentral:rRNA from 1 species
ACCAUACCAAACUGUUGCCUCGGCGGGGUCACGCCCCGGGUGCGUCGCAGCCCCGGAACCAGGCGCCCGCCGGAGGGACCAACCAAACUCUUUUCUGUAGUCCCCUCGCGGACGUUAUUUCUUACAGCUCUGAGCAAAAAUUCAAAAUGAAUCAAAACUUUCAACAACGGAUCUCUUGGUUCUGGCAUCGAUGAAGAACGCAGCGAAAUGCGAUAAGUAAUGUGAAUUGCAGAAUUCAGUGAAUCAUCGAAUCUUUGAACGCACAUUGCGCCCGCCAGUAUUCUGGCGGGCAUGCCUGUCCGAGCGUCAUUUCAACCCUCGAACCCCUCCGGGGGGUCGGCGUUGGGGAUCGGGAACCCCUAAGACGGGAUCCCGGCCCCGAAAUACAGUGGCGGUCUCGCCGCAGCCUCUCCUGCGCAGUAGUUUGCACAACUCGCACCGGGAGCGCGGCGCGUCCACGUCCGUAAAACACCCAACUUCUGAAAUGUUGACCUCGGAUCAGGUAGGAAUACCCGCUGAACUUAAGCAUAUCAAUAA